rnacentral:siRNA from 1 species
AAAGAUGAAUGACGACCGUGUGA